CAGAAAAUAAUAUAGAAAAACUAACAAUUAAUAACUAUGAAAAACAAGCUAACAAUCUAUAAAUAGCAACAAAAAAAAGUUCACCUGUAAUUCAUCCUUUCAUAGACCUACUGUUUGAGUAGUACAUAUUUCAUUUCACAUUCAAAAUUAUAAUCAUAGACUAUUUUAUAAGUUUUUAAGUCAGCAAAUUUUAAACUUAUUUCUUUUCUUUGAGUGCCGUCAAAUUUCGAAAUAGUUAAAAAUGUACCGCGACGAAAAAAAGGUUGAGAAUUUUACUGCUCUAAAUGUUGAGUGGGAUAAAUCAGAUGUACGAUUGUUACUUAAUGUGCACAGAAUCCAACUUAUCUCUUGAAUAUGACUAGCUUACUUUGAUUUUCACAUAGCCCAGGUUUUUGAGCCACAUGCGAGCACAUGUCUAAUGAUAGUUUAAUAUAAUACGAUUUCUGUUUUUCAAUCAUUUGAUAAAAAAAUUCUUGUGGUGGCUCAGGGGAUGCAAUUCAAAUGAGGUGAUCGAUACGAAUUGUCCGUAUCCGGCAUACACCAACCCCUGUGUUGACGUUAAAUAUUCUCAGUGGUAGACGGAUCGUGGUUUAGAGCGCCUUUGCCGUCAGGCUAACAGUAGAAGGAUUUCGUGAUUUUCCUCUUGACUUAACUCAAAUGCGAGUUAGUUCCAUUAAAAAAGUCCUCAACUCACAACCUGCACAACUCACUUUUUAAGCAUUAAGGAUUUUUAACACUAUAAACGUUCACAAUUAAGACUUUCGUGUCUUGCGUUUUCGUCUGAUAUUUUCUAAAAACUCCUGACUGGGCGAUGUCGUUGUAAAACACAGAUUAACGUGUUAUGAAACGGAAAUAUUCAAUGGAGUGGUCUGAACAAGUGUGAAAUCCGAAUUGGGAGUGGUAAACGGCCGUUCUUCUCCCUCUUCGAGCCUCAUACUUGUUCAGCCGUUUCGGAACUUUUCCGUUCUUUCGACUACGGUGCAGUAAGAACCAGGGUGUCAAAAGAACUGGGUGGUCCUGGACUGUGCUGCUAGCCCACAUGUCCGUGACCCUAAGUCACUGAAGAACUCUGGUGCUUACAGCUAAAUAUAUUUGGCUUUAAAAUUAUUUAAAUUAUUAUCCCGCUCAAAUUAAAAUCUAAAGGGCUGAGGUAGGAUAGAGUAAGGUCCUGGAAUGUAACUAAAGCUUGCAAGUCCGUGCCCUGAAAAACCACCCAGCCCUUUACUAACGUUUAAUCUUAGAACAAGAACGUUUAUAGUGCUUGUAAUUUAUCAAUUUAGACUUUCAUAAUAUUUUUCUAGCUAAGGGGAAAAGCGUUUCUCUUGUGUUAGAUUAGUUAAGUGAUAGUUGCAUUGUGAGAAUGUUAACGAUGUUAUUUUAAAUUUGAACUAAACUUUAAUCGGUUUCUUAAGAUUAGCUUCUAAAGUCUUGAUAUCUGUACGAAUAAGAAUUUUUUGACACAGAAAUUAUUAAUUUAAAAUAUAGUUUUGAAGAUUCUGGGAGCAAUGUAAAGCAACCAUUCAUGAAAGCACAUGUGUACAAUGAACUUCGUAAGCUGUAUAAAUCUGUUAUGAACAGCUGUAUAAAGCUGUAUAAGCUGUAUAAAUCUGUAUCGAAUUUGAACUGUAUCGAAGAGAACAAAUCCUCCUUAAUGUUCAGAAUAUUAAAAUAAAUUGGAACCUGAACAAGAAUUUUCAACAAUUUUCAACAAUUUUUUUCAACAAAAAAUUUUUUUCCUGAACAGAAUCAAUUUUUUAACGGAUGAAAACACCGAUGUCAAGAUAGGAAAAUGCUGCAAAAUAUAUAGUUAAAUUUAAAACUUGUUCGAUUUAAAGAGUAUUCAAAGUGUUUACCAUUAUUUUUAUAGAUUGAUUUAUACUUCUGACCGUUUCAUUUCUAAAUUAAAACUGAACUGGACUUCUAUCUUUGUUUGCUUUCUUUUGAUUUUUGUUAAAAUCAACAUCCUUUAGAAUUGAUAAAAGAGUUAAAAUAUGGAUAAAAAGCGCAAAAUAAAAAUUAAUAAUAUGUAAGCCAAUGAAGCAUUUUCUCAUAUUCUGAUAACAUAUAAAGUACUUCUUACUAUAUUUAAUAUUGUAUAUAUAUACUAAUAUAUAAUAUAUACUAACUAUACUAUCACUUGUAUUUAACUAAUCUACUGUGAUACUUUUAUUACUGCAGAUAUUCUAAUAUUGUUCAAUGAUUUAAUUUAUCUCAAACAAUAUUAGUUUUGAAUAUAGGUUUUAUCUGCCUUAUUAUUGGAUUAAAUUAUGCUUAAUUCAGCCUUUUUUGUGUGCAUCGGUACUGCUUCUGUCUCUGGUAUUUUUCAGAAUCUUCUUCUUGAUAUGCUGCUGAUGUGAACACGCUUUGGGGAGCUGAAAUUGCAAAAGAUGGAAAGUUUCGAAGAAAGCAUCUGACUAAUCUCUGAAAAGCGGAAGUUGUUUUCUGAUGUGUUGCUGCCUACUUUCAAUUAACUUGCUGGCCUAGUAGAGAAUAAAUUUUGCGCCAUUCUCCAGAUUCAAGUGUUGCCGAGAUUUAAAAGGAAAUUGAAAGGGCCAUUUUGUAUUUCUCAAAUGAGAUGAGACUGAUCUGUUCCUCGAAGAUUAUUUCAUUCCCAAAGAAGUGGCUCAAGUUAAUCUCAGAACUUUCUGGUCUACGUAAAAUAUCCUGAUUCGUGCGUUAAAAUCCCCAUACCGUCGAGCUAACCGUGGAAGGUUUUCAUGGUUCCCUCUCCAUGUAACGCAAAUGCGGGUUAGUUGCAGCGUAAGUCCUCCAUGAAGGCUAUUUCGAUCCAGGAGUUCUCUCGUCUUCUGGUUUCAAGUGUGCGAUCUUAUGGAGCUGAACAGUCAUAAUUGUAAACCCAGAAAUGAGUAUGCCAUCCAACCCUGGUUGAGCAGUAAAUUAAAUUCAGUUGGAUAUCUCUUUUUGCACUAAGCAAACUUGUUGGAAAGUUUUCGAGAACAGACUUCCGUGGUUCCUACUCUAAACCCUGCAAUGACAAUUAACGCCUUUCGAAUUUUUCAAGCUGGCAUUGUAGAUGUUGUUCAAUUUUGUUAUUUAUGUAAGACUUCUUUUACAUAAUGCAUAGUUACAUGCAAUUCUGUGUCUUGUUCUACUCUUAUUAGCCAUGAAUAAAUAGCUUAUUCUUGA